GACGAACGCUGGCGGCGUGCUUAACACAUGCAAGUCGAACGGAAAGGCCCUGCUUUUGUGGGGUGCUCGAGUGGCGAACGGGUGAGUAACACGUGAGUAACCUGCCCUUGACUUUGGGAUAACUUCAGGAAACUGGGGCUAAUACCGGAUAGGAGCUCCUGCUGCAUGGUGGGGGUUGGAAAGUUUCGGCGGUUGGGGAUGGACUCGCGGCUUAUCAGCUUGUUGGUGGGGUAGUGGCUUACCAAGGCUUUGACGGGUAGCCGGCCUGAGAGGGUGACCGGCCACAUUGGGACUGAGAUACGGCCCAGACUCCUACGGGAGGCAGCAGUGGGGAAUAUUGCACAAUGGGCGGAAGCCUGAUGCAGCAACGCCGCGUGCGGGAUGACGGCCUUCGGGUUGUAAACCGCUUUCGCCUGUGACGAAGCGUGAGUGACGGUAAUGGGUAAAGAAGCACCGGCUAACUACGUGCCAGCAGCCGCGGUGAUACGUAGGGUGCGAGCGUUGUCCGGAUUUAUUGGGCGUAAAGGGCUCGUAGGUGGUUGAUCGCGUCGGAAGUGUAAUCUUGGGGCUUAACCCUGAGCGUGCUUUCGAUACGGGUUGACUUGAGGAAGGUAGGGGAGAAUGGAAUUCCUGGUGGAGCGGUGGAAUGCGCAGAUAUCAGGAGGAACACCAGUGGCGAAGGCGGUUCUCUGGGCCUUUCCUGACGCUGAGGAGCGAAAGCGUGGGGAGCGAACAGGCUUAGAUACCCUGGUAGUCCACGCUGUAAACGGUGGGUACUAGGUGUGGGGUCCAUUCCACGGGUUCCGUGCCGUAGCUAACGCUUUAAGUACCCCGCCUGGGGAGUACGGCCGCAAGGCUAAAACUCAAAGGAAUUGACGGGGCCCCGCACAAGCGGCGGAGCAUGCGGAUUAAUUCGAUGCAACGCGUAGAACCUUACCUGGGUUUGACUUGGAUCGGGAGUGCUCAGAGAUGGGUGUGCCUCUUUUGGGGUCGGUUCACAGGUGGUGCAUGGCUGUCGUCAGCUCGUGUCGUGAGAUGUUGGGUUAAGUCCCGCAACGAGCGCAACCCUUGUUCACUGUUGCCAGCACGUUAUGGUGGGGACUCAGUGGAGACCGCCGGGGUCAACUCGGAGGAAGGUGGGGAUGACGUCAAGUCAUCAUGCCCCUUAUGUCCAGGGCUUCACGCAUGCUACAAUGGCUGGUACAGAGAGUGGCGAGCCUGUGAGGGUGAGCGAAUCUCGGAAAGCCGGUCUCAGUUCGGAUUGGGGUCUGCAACUCGACCUCAUGAAGUCGGAGUCGCUAGUAAUCGCAGAUCAGCAACGCUGCGGUGAGUACGUUCCCGGGGCU
rnacentral:rRNA from 1 species